GAUGAACGCUGGCGGCGUGCCUAAUACAUGCAAGUCGAGCGAACGGACGAGAAGCUUGCUUCUCUGAUGUUAGCGGCGGACGGGUGAGUAACACGUGGAUAACCUACCUAUAAGACUGGGAUAACUUCGGGAAACCGGAGCUAAUACCGGAUGAUAUUUUGAACCGCAUGGUUCAAAAGUGAAAGACGGUCUUGCUGUCACUUAUAGAUGGAUCCGCGCUGCAUUAGCUAGUUGGUAAGGUAACGGCUUACCAAGGCAACGAUGCAUAGCCGACCUGAGAGGCUGAUCGGCCACACUGAACAUGAGACACGGUCCAGACUCCUACGAGCGGAACCAGAAGGGGUUCUUCCGCAGUGGGCGAAAGCGUGACGGAGCAACGCCGAGUGAGUGCUUAAGGUGGUCGAAUCGUAAUACUCUGUUAUUAGGGAAGAACAUAUGCGUAAGUAACUGUGCACAUCUUGACGGUACCUAAUCAGAAAACCACGGCUAACAACGUG
rnacentral:rRNA from 1 species